UGCUCAUGGAAAUUUUCUUUUAUCUUUUGCAGAGGGAAGCCAUACUAAGGAACUGCCGUGACCUCUUUCUCAUUGCUUUUGGUGUUGUUCCCACUGCAGUCAGUCAGAUGUCUUCCAGCCUAGAAGGGAGAACGAUGCCAGUCACCAGGCCAGCUGGGUCAUUUGUUGUAAUCACUUGUGAUCUUCCUGAACCAGGUACCAAGUACAUGCACUGGUACCUGGUCCAGGAGAGGAAGGCCCCACAGCGACUUCUCCACUGUGCCUUCCUCACCACCACGGUUGUGUUGGACUCAGAAACCAGUCCAGGGAAAUACCAUGUCUAUGAAGAUGCAGGGAAGACCUGUAAGGUUGUAGUCCGAAAUCUGGAAGAAAGUGAUUCUGGCGUGUAUUACUGUGCCAUGUGGGACAGGCACGGUGAUUCAGACCUGCCCUAGGCUGUACUGAAAAUUUUGCUUGUGGCUGCUCCUGGCACACAAGGUAGACCACCUUCUGUCUGGCUUCCUGCCCCUGACUUCACCGUACCCUGAACAGAGAGAAACCCUGAGCUCAAAGCCUAUC